GACGAACGCUGGCGGCGUGCUUAACACAUGCAAGUCGAACGCUGAAGCCCUUCGGGGUGGAUGAGUGGCGAACGGGUGAGUAACACGUGGGCAAUCUGCCCUGCACUCUGGGAUAAGCCUUGGAAACGGGGUCUAAUACCGGAUAGGACACAUCGCCGACUGGUGUGUGUGUGGAAAGUUCCGGCGGUGCAGGUUGAGCCCGCGGCCGAUCAGCUUGUUGGUGGGGUGAUGGCCUACCAAGGCGACGACGGGUAGCCGGCCUGGGAGGGUGACCGGCCACACUGGGACUGAGACACGGCCCAGACUCCUACGGGAGGCAGCAGUGGGGAAUCUUGCGCAAUGGGCGAAAGCCUGACGCAGCAACGCCGCGUGGGGGAUGACGGCCUUCGGGUUGUAAACCUCUUUCGACCGGGACGAAGGAUUCGUUUGACGGUACCGGUAGAAGAAGCACCGGCUAACUACGUGCCAGCCGCCGCCGUAAUAC
rnacentral:rRNA from 1 species